rnacentral:lncRNA from 1 species
UUCAAGUAUAAUAAUUUGUGACAUUCCUUUCUUCUAAUGCCACUGGGAGCUUUUGAUAACAAGGUCGUAGUUACCUGAAAGAAACUCAAAAGUGUGGACUGUUUAUACUCCUUCUUGAAAUAGACGUAGUUCUCCUUUGACUGUUUGGGGGAAUCUUACCAACAAAGCUACCUGAGCUGUAGUUUUAUGUUGUUUUGGAGAGAGGAGGCUUUUAAUCCAUAUUUAAUUCUUUAAUCAAUGUAGAGUAUUUUUAAGUAUAGAAUUUCAAUGUCCUUUUUCUAUUCUUUUUCUCUCUGUCUCUGUCUCUGUCUGUCUGUCUCUAUCUCUAUCUCUGUUUCUCCGUGUGUGUGUGUGUGUGUGUGUGUGUGUGUGUGUGUGUGCAUCAGUGUAUACACAUGCUUGUGUAGUAUUGGUGUUCAUUUGUGUGGUCUUGUGUGCAUACAUGUGUGUGCAAACCCAUGCAUGACUGCAUGUGGAGACCAGGAGUCAGGAUCAGAUCAACCACUGAUCACCUUGUUUUUCCAGAUCGGGUCUCUCACUGAAGCUGGGGCUCAAUCAUAGGCUAGACUGACUGGCCAGCAAACCUCAAGGAUCUAUCUCCCUGUCUCCCUGUCUUGGCCUCCCCAGGCCUGGGAUUAGAGUCCGUGGGAGCAUGGAGCAUGGAGCAUGGAGCAUGGAGCAUGGAGCAUGGAGCAUGGAGCAUGGAGCAUGGAGCAUGGAGCAUGGAGCAUGGAGCAUGGAGCAUGGAGCAUGGAGCAUGGAGCAUGGAGCAUGGAGCAUGGAGCAUGGAGCAUGGGCAUCCUAAUGGUUUCUGGCCUCAGCACAGACCACAAACAUGGCUGCUGGUUACAGUAGGGCCACAGACCUCAGAGGCAGCACAGGUGCCUCAUAUCAAUAUGUCUCCUGGUAGCAGCACAGCCCUCAGACAUCAGAUGGCCUCAUGCUGCACCACAGACCAUGGAUCUCCUCUUGGCAUUUGGUGGUAACAUGAACACAGACGCCAGCUACAGUUGGACUAUGGACCUGACAUGGCCCUAGGAAGUAGCAUGGGCCUGGACAUCACCAUGGCCUCCAGUAGCAGUGCCGGUCACUCAGAUCAGUAUGGCCUCCAGUGGUCCCGUGGCCCAUGGACAUCAACAUGGAUUCAGGUGGCAGCAGAGACCAUGAACAUCUACAUGACCUUUGAGGACCCCAUGGGCCAUGAAGAUCAACACAGACCCUGGCAAUGGUACCAAUGGCUGUGCAACAGCUCAUUUUCGUCAAAUAAAGACAUAAACCCAACACAGCUCGCCCAGGACUGGGAGGAAAAGGUGCUGGAACCCGGGACCCAAGCCCUGAGCGGG